CCUACGGGAGACUGCAGUGAGGAAUAUUGGUCAAUGGACGCAAGUCUGAACCAGCCAUGCCGCGUGCAGGAAGACGGCUCUAUGAGUUGUAAACUGCUUUUGUACGAGGGUAAACGCAGAUACGCGUAUCUGUCUGAAAGUAUCGUACGAAUAAGGAUCGGCUAACUCCGUGCCAGCAGCCGCGGUAAUACGGAGGAUUCAAGCGUUAUCCGGAUUUAUUGGGUUUAAAGGGUGCGUAGGCGGUCGGAUAAGUUAGAGGUGAAAUCCCGAGGCUCAACUUCGGAAUUGCCUCUGAUACUGUUCGGCUAGAGAGUAGUUGCGGUAGGCGGAAUGUAUGGUGUAGCGGUGAAAUGCUUAGAGAUCAUACAGAACACCGAUUGCGAAGGCAGCUUACCGGCGCGCAACUGACGCUCAUGCACGAAAGCGUGGGUAUCGAACAGGAUUAGAUACCCUAGUAGUC
rnacentral:rRNA from 1 species